GACAGGGCAGAGUUAGGUCAGACAGUACAGUUCUCUGGCUAGUGUACCGUCUGAAACAGACAGACAGGACAGGACAGAGUUAGGUCAGACAGUACAGUUCUCUGGCUAGUGUACCGUCUGAAACAGACAGACAGGACAGGACAGAGUUAGGUCAGACAGUACAGUUCUCUGGCUAGUGUACCGUCUGAAACAGACAGACAGGACAGGACAGAGUUAGGUCAGACAGUACAGUUCUCUGGCUAGUGUACCGUCUGGAACAGACAGACAGGACAGGGCAGAGUUAGGUCAGACAGUACAGUUCUCUGGCUAGUGUACCGUCUGAAACAGACAGACAGGACAGGACAGAGUUAGGUCAGACAGUACAGUUCUCUGGCUAGUGUACCGUCUGAAACAGACAGACAGGACAGGGCAGAGUUAGGUCAGACAGUACAGUUCUCUGGCUAGUGUACUGUCUGAAACAGACAGACAGGAUAGGGCAGAGUUAGGUCAGACAGUACAGUUCUCUGGCUAGUGUACCGUCUGAAACAGACAGACAGGACAGGGCAGAGUUAGGUCAGACAGUACAGUUCUCUGGCUAGUGUACCGUCUGAAACAGACAGACAUCAUUCAUACGCAGUUAUUAAUUCAAAUUAAACUGAAACUCUACAUGUAAAAUAUUAUAUUCUCUGAGACAACGGUUACCGUUGACGACAUGAUUACGAUGCUCGACAACCAGGAGGCAGGCAGCAGAUGUUGGAUAGGACUCA